AUUUGAGAUGUACAGUGUACAACUAGAACUGUACAUGUAUGCACAUAGUAUGUACAUGUACGUGCGUGCACUUUGUACCGUGGAACUUGGGAAGUGUACAUUCGUAAUUUCGAACAAGCUGAAGCAGUUUGUUGAUUGUUAAAAUUUCAAUUUUUUCGUGACUUGUUGAUGCCAUGUAGGUGAUUCUGAUGAACUUAGAUUUAAGGUGCAUCAUGAUUUCUUUGCUCUGCCAGUGGCAGUAAGCAAGAGUUUUACAUGUAGAUAUUCAAAGAAAGUCUGCAGUGCUUUCCUGUUUUCAGCUAGAGCCUGGUAGAGGGCAGCACCACUUGAACAGAGCAUUUUCCCCAGACUUCUGAAAAUGGUGCAUUACCAUGGCACAUUUUGAUGAGAAGAGUGGAAUUGUCCCUUGCCAGACCCCCUGGGGUCAGUGGUAUCAGACCAUGGAGGAGGUGUUUGUAGAGGUGAAUGUGCAAGAGGGAACAAAGGGCAAGAUGGUGACGGUGAACUUUGACCCCAAGCACCUGAGCUGCACGGUUAAGGGCAAAAAUGUCUUUAAGGGUGAACUUUAUGAAGCAGUAAUAUCUGAUGAAUGCACCUGGACACUUGAAGACAACAAACUGGUCCAGAUUGUCCUCACCAAGUCCAAGCAGUCAGCGGAGAACUGUUGGCGGAGCUUGUUGAAGGACCAGUACGUGGCUGACCCUUUCACCUACGACAAGAUGGAAAAGAAACUCACCUUGCAAAGAUUUCAGCAUGAGAACCCAGGCUUUGACUUCAGUGGGGCAGAGAUUACAGGCAACUACUCCGGAGGAGGUCCAAACUUUGAUCCCUGAUCACGGCAACUUGGCUGUCUAUAUGGUCGCUUGGCCAGAACUUUCUCCUUAUGGGGCUCAUCUAUUCGCACAAAACACAUUUCACUUAAAGCCGCAUUUACAUGCAUAUAGAGUUGAGUCAUGAGGAGUUAUUUGUUAGACAUGCUGAGGCGUAACGAUGUUGACAUCUGAAAGUGUAUAGUCCUGAGAGUGCUUUAAUUCAUAGAAAAUCCAUCCGUUAGGGACAGACGAAGAUAUUCGUGUACAGUAGUUGUGAUUUUCAUUUAGGUUAUGUAUAUUUUGCCGAGUUAGUUUCUAUUUCAUGGGUAAGGGCAAAAUGUAGUAAGUAGUAAAACAAGAGACUACUGAGGACUGUCCUCGGAUGGUUAUUCAGGGGGAGAGGUCAGUAUGUUUAUCAGAUAAUCAAAAUUUGAAACUCCAGAACAGAAUCGGUUGGUACUCGGAAUUUCUCUGUGGGUGCUAACUGAGAGCACUGAAGGUGCAAAUUAUUCCAUUUGUUGACAAAAUACCAUGUAAGAAAAGAACAAGUAUUGUUUGGUUUUAAGUCUACCUUGAAAUUUAAUUUUUUUCCCCUUUUUUUUUGUUGUUGUCCGUCUGUAGUUCGUUGACCAGUACUUAUGACAUCAAUUCCUGGAGAGAUCUCCAAGCUUCUGUCCAUAAGCAACAGGCUGCGCGUAGUUGAUGUAACCCUGCUGCUCUUACAGAGUUCCGAAGCGUGAUGUCAUUUUAAACCAGGAAUUGCAGUGCACACGAAUGGAGUACGCGUGUUGGUUUGCAUGCUGGUUCUUGCACUGAUACCUUGCACUGACGCAUUCACUUAGGUACUCUGUACCACCAGGAUUUAACUCCAAGAUUGUAAAUUGGAGUUGUUACAAUGUUGGACUGACCCUUCGCCGAGUGUGCUGAAUCUGAGACAAUCCUAGCAGUGCCCUGACUCGUGUAGUGGCCGUUGAUGAGCAAGUGCUCGUAUGCAGUAUGGAUGUGUGGAAAUUUUCCUGUGAAGUGGUUUGUGGGCAUCAAAUUCCCUGGGGGAGGUCUGCUUUCUCCAAAAUGCCCAUGAAAUUUUGGUUGAGAAAACUUGACACAUCACCCACUACCGAGCCAGGGUCAGCAAGUAUUGAUUUUAAUGCCAACAAAUGUUGACUUUGUUUAUCCAGUGUUAUAAACAAUAAAAAGCUUUAUUUUUAUCUCACCGAUGUACAUAUGUGGUUUUCCUUUCCCCUUGUACUCUGAACAGUCUUAAAACCUCCAACAUGGCUCAAGAGAGUGAGACGUAACUGACAUGUACAAGCAAAAAAUGUUACUUGAAGAAAACACUAUACCCAAGCUGGCGCAAAGCAUGUUUUAUUUCCAAUGACAUGUGAAUGAAUAAUGAACAGCUAAAAAAAAGCAAAGUUGCAACAGGGAGAGGCAAACUGAAUGUGAAAUUGUAACAUUCAAAAGGGGGAUGAAAAAACCAUUAGAAAGUAGACGAAACAGGAAAAAACUAUGUGUAUAAAAAAUCAACGGUGAUUUCUCAAUAAAUGUGGACAACUCACUGCUUUCUCCCGACACCCUUUCCUGAGAGUAUCCACCGAAAGUGUUUGUUUUUAUGCAACAGAAAAUCAAGCCUCAAAGUUACUCAGAAUGCAAUUAAACUUCAGCUGUGAAAGAACAUGAACUCAAAACUCUGUAAAACCUUCCUGCACAUGUGAAUAUGUGUGGAUAGUGCAGGUCAUUAUCAGAAAAAAUGCUACUAAUGUGUUACUAAUGCAAAAUUAACCAGCAUUAAAUUUUAAUAAAGGGUCUGACUUGUCUCUGUACUUCUGUAACCUUGAUUUUUCUAUUCUGAAGAAUAACUUUUACUUACUGGUUUUUCUUUCAAAAACAUAUCAGAUGUGAAGUUUCCAGAAACAUUUUGUAUAAUUUUUAUAUCAAGCCUAGCCUUCUAGAAAGUAUUAAGUAUUUCACAGCUUUUGUUAACACCUUUUUUGUCAUAUUGGCACACUGUGCUCAUAUCCUUUCAGGCAGCCAGAAGUGUGUGAUCUGAAUUUACCCUAGAAACAAUUACAAAAGGCUCAACCAAUAUUUACUCUAAUUUUUGCUCUCCAAUACAGCGAUCAUUCAUGUGUCAUUGUUGAAGUGUUCUGGAUGAUCUAGUAGAGCAACUUCCAAAGUUAAAAUAAAAAAUGGAGUUCAAAAAUAAAUACAUUACCUUAUGAUUUGCUUCAUAACGAGCCUUAAACUUCAGAAAGAAGUAAUGGGGGGAAGAGGUUAACCCUAACAGUCCUCAGUUCCUCCAACAGGUGAAGGAUUGAGGACUGUUAGGGUUAAUCAUUUGGGGGACUUGUGGUCCACAUCAGUAAGACCUUAUGCGAUGAUUUUUAAAAAGUUGGCACGUAAGCCUUCUUUGAACCCUGGGUUUAUUUCCCAGUGCUGGUGUAAAUUUUCUUCUUGAGGCCCAAACAUUAAAUUCGCUUUUGAAACAAUUAGAAAUGGAGAAUGAGUUUGAUGGAAACCAAAGAGAACAGGCCCCGUUUUAAGGUAUACUAUUUUGUAUGAAAGCCAUAUUCACUGUUGUUCAUUUAUAAAGAAGCCUUAUGCUACAUUCUGGAUGAUA
rnacentral:misc_RNA from 1 species